ACGAACGCUGGCGGCGUGCCUAAUACAUGCAAGUCGAACGCUUCUUUUUCCACCGGAGCUUGCUCCACCGGAAAAAGAGGAGUGGCGAACGGGUGAGUAACACGUGGGUAACCUGCCCAUCAGAAGGGGAUAACACUUGGAAACAGGUGCUAAUACCGUAUAACAAUCGAAACCGCAUGGUUUUGAUUUGAAAGGCGCUUUCGGGUGUCGCUGAUGGAUGGACCCGCGGUGCAUUAGCUAGUUGGUGAGGUAACGGCUCACCAAGGCGACGAUGCAUAGCCGACCUGAGAGGGUGAUCGGCCACAUUGGGACUGAGACACGGCCCAAACUCCUACGGGAGGCAGCAGUAGGGAAUCUUCGGCAAUGGACGAAAGUCUGACCGAGCAACGCCGCGUGAGUGAAGAAGGUUUUCGGAUCGUAAAACUCUGUUGUUAGAGAAGAACAAGGAUGAGAGUAACUGUUCAUCCCUUGACGGUAUCUAACCAGAAAGCCACGGCUAACUACGUGCCAGCAGCCGCGGUAAUACGUAGGUGGCAAGCGUUGUCCGGAUUUAUUGGGCGUAAAGCGAGCGCAGGCGGUUUCUUAAGUCUGAUGUGAAAGCCCCCGGCUCAACCGGGGAGGGUCAUUGGAAACUGGGAGACUUGAGUGCAGAAGAGGAGAGUGGAAUUCCAUGUGUAGCGGUGAAAUGCGUAGAUAUAUGGAGGAACACCAGUGGCGAAGGCGGCUCUCUGGUCUGUAACUGACGCUGAGGCUCGAAAGCGUGGGGAGCAAACAGGAUUAGAUACCCUGGUAGUCCACGCCGUAAACGAUGAGUGCUAAGUGUUGGAGGGUUUCCGCCCUUCAGUGCUGCAGCUAACGCAUUAAGCACUCCGCCUGGGGAGUACGACCGCAAGGUUGAAACUCAAAGGAAUUGACGGGGGCCCGCACAAGCGGUGGAGCAUGUGGUUUAAUUCGAAGCAACGCGAAGAACCUUACCAAGUCUUGACAUCCUCUUGACCGGCGUGUAACGGCGCCUUCCCUUCGGGGCAAGAGAGACAGGUGGUGCAUGGUUGUCGUCAGCUCGUGUCGUGAGAUGUUGGGUUAAGUCCCGCAACGAGCGCAACCCUUAUUGUUAGUUGCCAUCAUUUAGUUGGGCACUCUAGCAAGACUGCCGGUGACAAACCGGAGGAAGGUGGGGAUGACGUCAAAUCAUCAUGCCCCUUAUGACCUGGGCUACACACGUGCUACAAUGGGAAGUACAACGAGUCGCAAAGUCGCGAGGCUAAGCUAAUCUCUUAAAGCUUCUCUCAGUUCGGAUUGUAGGCUGCAACUCGCCUACAUGAAGCCGGAAUCGCUAGUAAUCGCGGAUCAGCACGCCGCGGUGAAUACGUUCCCGGGCCUUGUACACACCGCCCGUCACACCACGAGAGUUUGUAACACCCGAAGUCGGUGAGGUAACCUUUUGGAGCCAGCCGCCUAAGGUGGGAUAGAUGAUUGGGGUG
rnacentral:rRNA from 1 species